rnacentral:rRNA from 1 species
AGCAGCCGCGGUAAUUCCAGCUCCAAUAGCGUAUAUUAAAGUUGUUGCAGUUAAAAAGCUCGUAGUUGAAUUUCGAGAUCAAAUUGUUGGUCGUGCCUUGGUACGCACUGGCAUUAUUGGUUUCUCCCUUCUGACGAACCAUGAUGUCAUUAAUUUGGUGUCUUGGGGAAUCAGGACUGUUACUUUGAAAAAUUAGAGUGUUUAAAGCAGGCUCACGCUUGAAUACAUUAGCAUGGAAUAAUGAAAUAGGACGUUUGAUUCUAUUUUGUUGGUUUCUAGGAUCGACGUAAUGAUUAAUAGGGAUAGUUGGGGGCAUUAGUAUUCAAUUGUCAGAGGUGAAAUUCUUGGAUUUAUUGAAGACUAACUACUGCGAAAGCAUUUGCCAAGGAUGUUUUCAUUAAUCAAGAACGAAAGUUAGGGGAUCGAAGACGAUCAGAUACCGUCGUAGUCUUAACCAUAAACUAUGCCGACUAGGGAUCGGAUGAUGUUAAUUUUUAAUGUACCCAUUCGGCGUACCG